AGGAGGAAAUCCUAUGUGUCUGCUCCCAGAGCUGCCACAACCCAUCUUCCCACAACUCGGAACUUGGAAAAAGGAACCCAGGACACGACUUUGCUUUUCUUUUGGACCUAGUUGCAACUUUUAAAAGCAUUUCCAUUGCACAGUGAAAGAAAACCACAAACUCCUUGUUUAAUAACUCGGAUCAUGUGCUUUUAACGAGAGGAAAAGGUCAAGUCUGAAGCAACUGAUAUGGAACUGCCAGAGUAGGAGUUGAAAAUAUUCCUAAACUGCUGGAGGAUACACCUCUGAUAGCUUGAGACAAAUAUCCUCUUGAUUAUUGUUUCACCAUAUUUGUCUUUGCUCACAGAGAACCAUUUUGACCUGUGGUUUAGCCUCCCAGGUGAUUGAACAAUAGCGGUGAUC
rnacentral:lncRNA from 1 species